UAUUUCGAACCGCAUGGUUCGAUAGUGAAAGAUGGUUUUGCUAUCACUUAUAGAUGGACCCGCGCCGUAUUAGCUAGUUGGUAAGGUAACGGCUUACCAAGGCGACGAUACGUAGCCGACCUGAGAGGGUGAUCGGCCACACUGGAACUGAGACACGGUCCAGACUCCUACGGGAGGCAGCAGUAGGGAAUCUUCCGCAAUGGGCGAAAGCCUGACGGAGCAACGCCGCGUGAGUGAUGAAGGUCUUCGGAUCGUAAAACUCUGUUAUUAGGGAAGAACAUACGUGUAAGUAACUAUGCACGUCUUGACGGUACCUAAUCAGAAAGCCACGGCUAACUACGUGCCAGCAGCCGCGGUAAUACGUAGGUGGCAAGCGUUAUCCGGAAUUAUUGGGCGUAAAGCGCGCGUAGGCGGUUUUUUAAGUCUGAUGUGAAAGCCCACGGCUCAACCGUGGAGGGUCAUUGGAAACUGGAAAACUUGAGUGCAGAAGAAGAAAGUGGAAUUCCAUGUGUAGCGGUGAAAUGCGCAGAGAUAUGGAGGAACACCAGUGGCGAAAGCGACUUUCUGGUCUGUAACUGACACUCAUAUGCGAAAACGUGGGGAUCACACAGGAUUAGAUACCCUGGUAGUCCACGCCCUAUACGAUGAGUGCUAUAUGUUAUGGGGGUUUCUCCCCCUUAUUGCUGCAGCUAACGCAUUAUACACUCUCCCCGCGGGGUACGACCGCCCCGGUGGAUACUCACACGAAGUGAUGGGGGAGGCGCCACAACCGGUGGAGCAGAUGGUGUUAUUUCUAAGCA
rnacentral:rRNA from 1 species